ACUGCUAGGAUUUCCAAUUGUUAAUAACGCUAUGUUAGCGCGCUCGAGGAAGAAGGGAGAAAACGGACUCUCACGGGCUCAAAUGAAGUUCUUCCCCGUCCCCGCAACCCUUGUUAAAUGUUUGGAGGAGGUUAAACCCUCUCACUCUCAAACUUACCACUAAAUCUAUAGAUACAAAUUGAAAUACUGUUAGACCAAAGUCUUAUAUACAAAAGUUACUUUUACUCUAGCCCGGCUAAGAGAGAGGAGUCAUUGAACCCGAGAACGUCCGGACUCCACGCGCCGCCCCGGGUGGAGAGGGGUUGGCAGGCGGAAUCCAAACGGCACAGACACUGCUGGCGCGCCUGGUAGCCUUCUGUAACGCACGCAUCUGAAAUUUAGAUCUGAAAAUAAUUACGAAGAGAGC
rnacentral:lncRNA from 1 species